rnacentral:lncRNA from 1 species
CCCAGACACACAUAUUGCAAAAGUUGCUUGCUUCAAGUAACUAAUGUAUUAACAUAUAUUUCUAUAGGCAAAGAGCUAUUUCUUUCCUUUAGGCUGUCUUAGACACUGAUGAAAACAUAAGAACAUCAAGAGCAUCUGUAAAAAUUACAGCUUUAAUGAAACAGAUGAAACAGGCCAUCAAAGUCGGAGUUCUGUGAUAGGAGGAGAUGAUCUGAAGAAUUUGCGGGUGAUCAGAUGGAUUAAAG